GCGUGCUCUGCCCUCGGCAUCGUGUCGGAUCACGGAGCAGCUCGACGGAAGGCCUGAAGGACCUCCAUGGAAACCCGCUGGAGCGGAAACGAGCUAACGGCAGCGCGCAGGAGGCGAGCAGCUAACGGCUCACGCUGCAAAGUCAAGGGAAACCGACCUGAGACCAGCCGUCUGUUAUCUCAUUACUUCCAAAGUCAAGUGAAACCGACCUGAGACCAGCCUUCUGUUAUCGAACUACGGAGGAUGCAGCAUGCGUUUCAUCCACUGGUGGCAGCUCUGAAUGCACAGACGCUGAUGACCCUGACCAGAAGGAAGAGAGUUCCAGACAGGCGAAAACGUGGCGAGGCGC